rnacentral:sRNA from 1 species
GCUGGGUGUGGUGGUGCACAUCUCUAAUCCUAGCAGCUCUGGAGGCUGAGGCAGGAGGAUCAUGAGUUCAAAGCCGGCCUCGACAAUGGCAAGGUACUAAGCAAAUCAGUGAGACUCAGUCUCUA